rnacentral:misc_RNA from 1 species
AACGUAGGACGCAAACAUUAUCCGGAAUUAUUGGGCGUAAAGCGCGCGCAGGCGGUCUUUUAAGUCUGAUGUGAAAGCCCACGGCUCAACCGUGGAGGGUCAUUGGAAACUGGAGGACUUGAGUGCAGAAGAGGAAAGUGGAAUUCCACGUGUAGCGGUGAAAUGCGUAGAGAUGUGGAGGAACACCAGUGGCGAAGGCGACUUUCUGGUCUGUAACUGACGCUGAGGCGCGAAAGCGUGGGGAGCAAACAGG